ensembl:lncRNA uncharacterized LOC115003593
AUGUUCCAGCCUAUCAUUUUGCUCAUCCUCAUACUUGUGUUAUUCUCAUCCCUCUCUUACGCCACCAUCUUUAAACUAGUCUUUCUUUUUACUCUUUUCUUUGUUCUGUGAUGUACACCUCCCUUAAUUCACAUCAUCCCUUGUUUGUUUUUGCUCUGUUGUUUUUCUUUCCUCCCCGCAUCAUUUGUUGCCAAGGUAACCAAAAGCACAGGAAAAGCUCAGCACUUGUCGAGGCUGCAGUCACAUUCAAGAGAGUGUGGCUAGAUUCAACACUGGAGUCUACAUUAUGCAUAACACAUCACUGUCCACAUCUGUCCCUCAAGAAGAACGACACUUGCUGUACCAUCUUGCUGUUGUUGCCUCAAGUGUUUCCAAGCCAUCGAUCCUUCCAAUCCUACGUGACCUCUGACAGGAAAGUGAAACUGGAGAAAGGGGAAAUUGGCAUUUAAAGAGGCCUCUGGGUAUUGAGCGGCCUGCGUCAUGGCAGCCAUUGAUCUGGAGCGUGGGCUGGAACACAGAGGCCGGGGCUGGGGACAGGAGAGGCCGGAGCUGAUGGACAACUUCGACUCAGAGAUGCAGGAGUGGGAGGACCAGCUGCAGGACAUCCAGAAGAAAAUCGAAGAGUUGUACAAUGAAGUCCAGGCUCGCAGAGGAGCAAACGAUAUCACUACUGACAACCAGAAAAAUGGCAGCGAGUUGGAGUGCGGCCUAGGUCACCAUGGCAAUGGUCUUUUUGGCGAUGGCAAAGGCCAUCACAGCCAUCACAGCAAGAAUCACCCCGCAGCGAUAACUGUGCCACAUCACUAUAGUAACGGCUGUAACUAUAGCCCCAGUGGGUACAGCUACCCCGUGAGUCAUCAAAAUGGCUACGGUUACUGCCACACCAACUCAGAGAUUGGCGACUUGUUGCAGGAUUACUUGGAGCAAGGGAAGCAAAUGAGCCAGAAGAACAAUGGAGCUCGCCACGUGCGCUUCAGUGACACAAUCAAGGUGAACCCGGAAACGGAGAUCAGAAAAAGUUCUGGAAGAGAAAGGCUUGGUCAAGAGCAGUGUUUGGGCAGUUUUGAGGAGACUGAAAACAGGAAGAACCAAGUGUCUCACAUGAAGAGCUCCCCCCGCAGAGAGAGUUCCCCCAACAAAGAAAACACAGGCGCAAAGCCCCCUCUUGGACAAAGGGAUGCUCCUGCUGUACAACCGCGCUCACAGCUCCCAAUCGCAACAGCUGGUUCGCCUGUUCCGGACAGGAAGUCAUUCAGUCCUGGCGUCCUGGGAGAUAGGAAGUGCGGGAGCCCUUCUGUUCUCAGGAAGUUUGGCGCCAUGCUUCAGGAAAACGAGGGCAAAAUGCUCACCGAAUCCGGGGUGGUAACCCAUCAGGGGCCGGAGCCAAAGUGCCCCACCCCUGGCUGUCAGCGGCGAGCUCUGGGAGCCACUGCAGUCGCCGGCAGGGCGCCCAUGCGCGUGCCUACUCAGAAAUGCCAAGCAGAUUUUGACGUGCUGACAGCAGAGAUAGAGCCCGGCCAAGAAUGGGGGUUAGUAUCAGACUCUGGUAGACAGAACCACAAGGAUCACAGAGGAGCUUACAAAGGGUCCCAGCGGGUACCUCAGCAGUCCCAGAGGAGAUCACAGGUGGCGGGGAGCCCAAAGAUGAGACCCAGAGCUAACAGCGCGGCAGACAGAGAUGGAGGACUGGCUCAAGGGGAGAGAGCAAGACGGCCUGCACCUCAACAUGCAGAGCCCAAAAUGGACUACAUGGUCUCAAGUGCUUCCUCUGGAGCUCAGAAGAUCCAUAGGGGUGGGUUUGUGGGACAGGAGUUGCCAGGUUGUGGCAGAGUGAGGGAUGAAGGACUUAUCGAGCUGCUGGACAUGCUGGAGAUCCAACACGAGUACAGCUCCAGUCCCAGAGUGGGACACACAGCUUACAGACAGGAUCCACAGCAAGUAAACCCAGCCCAGUCGUCCCCUGCCAAUCUUAACAACAGCUUCUCUCGUCCUGCGCGGCCAGCCAACCAGCGACCUCCAUCCAGGUGGGCCGGCCGCACCCCUACUGCCAUCAUCACCAGCCCAUCAGGCCCAAUGUACCGUCCCCCAAGCCCGCUGGCUCGCACCCCUAGCCCCAUGACCAGAACCCCAAGUCCCGCCCUGAAGCACCGGCCUCUCGUUUCCUAUUCUCUUCAGACUGAGACGGUCAUUAUGUGACACCUUUCCAUUUCAAUCAAGCUUGAUCCCUUCCUGCAGGAAAUCCCUCUCUCUCUGUGUAAAUAGUAAGGACUUCUCUGUGAAACAAAGUGCUUUAAGAGAGUUAAAGAAACGCUUAAUUUCAUCUUGAUACCAUGUUCGAGAUAAAAAACACAGCAUUCUCCAGUGUUGCUGUGGCUUUUUGCUUCUUCUGUGCUGAAACACAUCAACAUAUUGCUUAGUUGCAGUCCCCCUCCCCCCCCCCCCCCCCCCCAUCCUAUUUUUUGUAUUGAAUUUCAGGUGUUUUCUGUAUAAUGAGAUUUUGCAUGCAGCCCUAGUUUAAAGGGUGCAUGCUCAUGUGUUUAAUCCUCAUGGUGGCCAGGCUGAAUCAAAUUCAACCUGGCCACCAGCAGGAGUCCCAGCUGUGCUCCCAGCAGCAAUCUGCUUAUUCUCAACAGUGUGUUUUACUGUAUCAUAUUGUUAAAGUAAUAUAUUUAAGAUGUUCAAAUAACAGCUGUGACAAAUGACUAUGAUAUGCCUUUAAUGUAUUUUUUUUUUCUUGGUAAUAAAUAUGACAGUGCUUUGACGUCAAGACUCUU